UGCGCACUGGCAAGGAAGGCCCGUCACGGGAGCGCUGGCUGGUGAUUGACAGGAAAGUCUAUGACAUCAGCCGGUUCCACAGGAGGCACCCGGGGGCUCUCGGGACUAUCAGCUCGUACGCAGGGCAGGAUGCCACGGAUCCUUUUACAGCCUUUCACCUUGACAAGACCCUAGUAAGGAAGCACAUGGCAUCACUUUUGAUUGGGGAAUUGGCACCUGAUCAGCCCAGCUUUG